rnacentral:rRNA from 1 species
UGGAGGAAGGUGGGGAUGACGUCAAAUCAUCAUGCCCCUUAUGACCUGGGCUACACACGUGCUACAAUGGACAGAACAAAGGGCAGCGAAACCGCGAGGUUAAGCCAAUCCCACAAAUCUGUUCUCAGUUCGGAUCGCAGUCUGCAACUCGACUGCGUGAAGCUGGAAUCGCUAGUAAUCGCGGAUCAGCAUGCCGCGGUGAAUACGUUCCCGGGCCUUGUACACACCGCCCGUCACACCACGAGAGUUUGUAACACCCGAAGUCGGUGAGGUAACCUUUUAGGAGCCAGCCGCCGAAGGUGGGACAGAUGAUUGGGG